CUCCUACGGGAGGCAGCAGUAGGGAAUCUUCCGCAAUGGGCGCAAGCCUGACGGAGCAACGCCGCGUGAGUGAGGAAGGCCUUCGGGUUGUAAAACUCAGUCACCUGGGAAGAGAGGUAUGGGGAGUGGAAUGCCCCAUACGAGACGGUACCAGGGGAGGAAGCCCCGGCUAACUACGUGCCAGCAGCCGCGGUAAUACGUAGGGGGCAAGCGUUGUCCGGAAUCACUGGGCGUAAAGCGUGCGUAGGCGGUCUUUCAAGUCCGGGGUGAAAACUCAAGGCUCAACCUUGAGAAUGCCUUGGAAACUGGGGGACUUGAGUACUGGAGAGGCAAGGGGAAUUCCACGUGUAGCGGUGAGAUGCGUAGAGAUGUGGAGGAAUACCAGUGGCGAAGGCGCCUUGCUGGACAGUGACUGACGCUGAGGCACGAAAGCGUGGGGAGCAAACAGGAUUAGAUACCCUGGUAGUCCACGCUGUAAACGAUGAGUGCUAGGUGUUGGGGGUUCAUCCCCUCAGUGCCGAAGGAAACCCAAUAAGCACUCCGCCUGGGGAGUACGGUCGCAAGACUGAAACUCAAAGGAAUUGACGGGGGCCCGCACAAGCAGUGGAGCAUGUGGUUUAAUUCGAAGCAACGCGAAGAACCUUACCAGGGCUUGACAUCCCUCUGACCGGUUCAGAGAUGGGCCUUCCCUUCGGGGCAGAGGAGACAGGUGGUGCAUGGUUGUCGUCAGCUCGUGUCGUGAGAUGUUGGGUUAAGUCCCGCAACGAGCGCAACCCUUGACCUGUGUUACCAGCACGUAAUGGUGGGGACUCACAGGUGACUGCCGGCGUAAGUCGGAGGAAGGUGGGGAUGACGUCAAAUCAUCAUGCCCUUUAUGUCCUGGGCUACACACGUGCUACAAUGGGCGGUACAACGGGAAGCGAGACCGCGAGGUGGAGCGAAACCCAAAAAGCCGUUCGUAGUUCGGAUUGCAGGCUGCAACCCGCCUGCAUGAAGCCGGAAUUGCUAGUAAUCGCGGAUCAGCAUGCCGCGGUGAAUCCGUUCCCGGGCCUUGUACACACCGCCCGU
rnacentral:rRNA from 1 species